AGGUGGGGACUUAUGCUCAAAGGGGAGGUGGAUUUAGAAACUUCGAACUUGAAAACUUGAAAAUGUCAUUUACCAUUUUCUUUUUUAGUUUUGAGCAUUUACUAAUUUUUGUUUUUUUUUUUUACAUUUUUAACGCAUAUUUGGUUGUGUUGUACAAUUUUUUUUAUGAUUAUGCAUAUGCGAAUCACAAUAAAUAACAACAUUCUUAUCAAAAACAUUUUAUACAUCAAUUAU
rnacentral:lncRNA from 1 species